rnacentral:rRNA from 1 species
CAGUCGCCGCGGUAAAACGAAGGGUGCAAGCGUUAAUCGGAAUUACUGGGCGUAAAGCGUGCGUAGGCGGUGAGUUAAGUCUGCUGUGAAAUCCCCGGGCUCAACCUGGGAAUGGCAGUGGAUACUGGCUCGCUAGAGUGUGUCAGAGGAUGGUGGAAUUCCCGGUGUAGCGGUGAAAUGCGUAGAGAUCGGGAGGAACAUCAGUGGCGAAGGCGGCCAUCUGGGACAACACUGACGCUGAGGCACGAAAGCGUGGGAAGCAAACAGGAUUAGAUACCCCGGUAGUCCCUGUCUCUUAUAC